rnacentral:rRNA from 1 species
AUGCUGGGGCAUGGAAGGAUGCGGCGCGCGGCGGGUGCAUGCAUGCGUGCUCCGGUACGCAUAGGGCGUGUUUGGUUCCCUGCGCUGCAUGUGGUUCGCAUCCACCGUGCAAAUUUUCGUUGUUUGGUACCCUGCAUGGGCUUUUCAGCCUGGCCCAGUGGAUGCAAAAAGGGGCCUCUCAGCCAGGCUGAGGGAAACGCAGAGAUCGAGCGUAGCUCGCGUGCAGGCGCGUUCCUUCGCUUUUCUUCUCCCCUUUCGUUCUCUUCUGACCGAGCACUCUGCAGCCGCCCUCGUCAAGCCGCCGCCGUCCUCGACCAACAGCCACCGCUGCCCUUGUCAAGUCCCGCCGUCCUCCGCCGCCGCCAUCCUCGACCAAGCGUCGCCUCCCUCGUCGACCAAGCGCCGCUGUCGUCCUCGACCAACAGCCGCUGCUGCCCUCAUCAAGCCCCGCCGUCCUCCGCCGCUGCCGUCCUCGACCAAGCGUCGCCGCCCUCGUCAAGCCGCCGCACACCAGAUCUUGCUGCCUCGCGCCGCCACACACUGGAUCCUGCCGUCUGGAGCCGCUGCGCUUCGGAUGCGUCGUCCCGCGCUGCUGCAUCAUUGAGUGCGUCGCGAUUCCGUUCAAGUAUGCGAGAUAGUUACUGGAGCAUUGCAGUUUUGGCUAUCACUGGCUGCUCGAGCGCUGGAGAUUACGUGCUAGCCAUCUCCUCUGUCCCUGUAGUAGCAAACGUUGAUUAG